GAAUGUCCGCUUUUCCCCAUUGGGCUUAAGAGGGAAGUUGAGAGAGGGCUUCCGAGUACAGUCCUAUGAGCAAAAACUCAGACAUCUUUGAGCGAUAGAAGAGACAACUGGGCCGGGGGCCAGUUCAGUGCGGACCUACAUUUCAACCACCAUGAUGAAGAUGGGGCCUCCACGUGAAAAGUAACUACAAAACAGAACCAGAAAAUAGUCAUGCUGUUCAAGCCUGUGCUGAGAGUGAAAUGUGUUACUACACGUGCCUCACCUUCAUUUUCAACAGGACCUAUUGCCAUGCUUGAAGACAUCAAAUUGCAGUUGAAGUAACGGCAGAGGGAAAAGCAAGGGCAACAACAACAAACCACUUCACUCCUCUGGGUGGAAACAUGCAAUUGUACCAAGAGGGAUAAGGAAAAAACUGCUCAUGUUUGCAGAAAGAAGUUGGAAUAAGGGCGUGAAAGCAGGCGGGCUACUUUAGCAUCUGAUGCCAGGGAUAUGAGAGAGUAGCCCAGUGUGUUCAUUCAAAAAGUAAGGCUCUGAGGCCAGGACCAGGAAAGAUCCUGGAGUCCCCAGUCACAAUGGCAUGAAGCAGGAUGAUGCAGAGAGGCUAAGGGGGUGAUUCAGUGGGUUCUUUACCUAUAAAAAUGAUGGAAACCCCAACAUCAGCUGGGCAAGUGGCCCUGUUCAGAGCUCCUGGACUCGCCAUGACUAAAACACUCUGUUUUAUUUCGUAGUUGAUAUCUAUUGUUCUUGCCUCCCAGCAAGCAAUGGAACAGCACCUUUACUUUCCUUUGAGAAACUAUUCCUUUCCCAUUCUCAGGGCUUGUGAGGAUCAAGUGAGGUCACAUAAUCCAGAUCUGGCCAAUCAGCCCAUCUCAUGCUACUGGCUACACUAAUUGGUUUAGGGAUAGUAAAGUACUCAAAUUUGUUUACUGAACAUUUAGCCCUGGAAUUUUGGUGAUGGGAGGUGUAGAGGGUAAACUCUUGAUGAUAUCAUUUGUGUACCUGGGUCCAGCCAUGCCUGAACUUUUCAAUUACUUGACCCAGUAAAUUUCCUUAUUCAUUUAAA
rnacentral:lncRNA from 1 species